rnacentral:rRNA from 1 species
ACUAAACAGCUAGCUUAAACCACAGGGAAAAACUUAUCAACAUUUAAAACCCCUAACAAACAUAAUCAAAAAAAUUUAAACCAUUUCUCCUGCCUUAGUACGGGGCGAACGAAAAAGGCACCUUAAAAAGCAAUAGAAUAAAGUACCGCCAGGGGAAAGCUGAAAAAGAAAUGGAAAUAACCCCUUUUAAGGUAAAUUAAAAGCCAGAGAUUUAAACCUCGUACCUUUUGCAUCAUGAUUUAGUCAGUCCAAUUGAGCAAAGAGAACUUUAGUUCAAGACCCCGAAACCAAGUGAGCUACCUCGAGACAGCCUUUAACUAGGGCCAACCCGUCUCUGUGGCAAAAGAGUGGGAAGAGCUCCAGGUAGCGGUGAUAAACCUACCGAACUUGGUAAUAGCUGGUUGCCUAAGAAAUGGAUAGAAGUUCAGCCUCAUCAUCCCCAACUCCUAUAAAUAUAUAAAUUGACGAGUUAGAGAAACACAUGAGAGUUAGUCAAAAGAGGUACAGCUCUUUUGAAUAAGGAUACAACCUUCCAAGAAGGUUAAGGAUUAUAUUAAAAAAGACUACUGCUUCAGUGGGCCUAAAAGCAGCCAUCUGUGUAGAAAGCGUUACAGCUCAGGCAGCCCAUCAUCUAUUAUUCCAAUAACCAACCCAAAACCCCUUAUACUAUUAGGCUUUUCCAUGCCCACAUGGAAGCAAUCCUGCUAAAAUUAGUAACAAGAAAGCACCCCUUUCUCCCCGUUCAUGUGUAAGUUAGACAGGACCCUCCACUAACAAUUAACGAACCCAACCAAAGAGGGCAUCGUACUUUAAAAAAACUACAAGAAAAAUUUACAAACAACUAAUCGUUAAUCCCACACAGGAGAACUCGCAAGGAAAGACUAAAAAAAGAGGAAGGAACUCGGCAAAUAUAAGCCUCGCCUGUUUACCAAAAACAUCGCCUCCCGCAAAUCAAUGUAUAGGAGGUCCUGCCUGCCCAGUGAACUAAUUAAACGGCCGCGGUAUCUUGACCGUGCAAAGGUAGCGCAAUCACUUGUCUUUUAAAUGAAGACCUGUAUGAAUGGUGGAACGAGGGCUUAACUGUCUCCCUCCUUAAGUCAGUGAAAUUGAUCUGCCCGUGCAGAAGCGGACAUAAAAAUACAAGACGAGAAGACCCUUUGGAGCUUAAGACUCUAAAACCAAUUAUGUAAAAAAUUUACCCAAAACAAAUUAAACCCAAUAAAAACUGGUCUAAGUCUUCGGUUGGGGCGACCACGGGGGAAAAUAAAGCCCCCAUGUGGAACGGGGAGAUCCCCUAAAACCAAGAGAGACAUCUCUAAGACACAGAACAUCUGACCCAUAGAUCCGGCUUUCAAGCCGAUCAACGGACCAAGUUACCCUAGGGAUAACAGCGCAAUCCCCUCCCAGAGUCCAUAUCGACAAGGGGGUUUACGACCUCGAUGUUGGAUCAGGACAUCCUAAUGGUGCAGCCGCUAUUAAGGGUUCGUUUGUUCAACGAUUAAAGUCCUACGUGAUCUGAGUUCAGACCGGAGCAAUCCAGGUCAGUUUCUAUCUGUAUCGCUAUUUUUUCUAGUACGAAAGGACCGAAAAAAUGGGGCCCAUAUUAAAAACACGCCCCACCCUUAAUUAAUGAAAUCAACUUAAUUAAACAAAAGGAGAGCCCAACAAGACUCAAGAUAAGAGCUU